AGUGGGACUGUGGCUUAGUGGGAAGAGUAGUCGUCUUACAACUCGAAAGUUGUGGGUUCAAUUCCAGCUUCCUCUU